UGAGAAUAUUCUUAAUGUAAAGAUUUCUUCUAGUUUCGCUUCAGAGAAAUUCAAUAUAAU
rnacentral:tRNA from 1 species